CCUACGGGUGGCAGCAGUGAGGAAUAUUGCGCAAUGGGCGAAAGCCUGACGCAGCGACGCCGCGUGAAGGAUGAAGGUCUUCGGAUUGUAAACUUCUGUUAAGUGGGAAAAAAGACUCGUUUCUAAUACAGACGAGGGAUGAUUGUACCAUUAAAGAAAGCACCGGCUAACUUCGUGCCAGCAGCCGCGGUAAUACGAAGGGUGCUAGCGUUAUUCGGAAUUAUUGGGCGUAAAGGGCGCGUAGGUGGCAUGUUAAGUUUGCUGUUAAAUCUUCCAGCCUAACUGGAAAACUGCAGCAAAAACUGGCAAGCUAGAGUGUAAGAGAGAGAAGUGGAAUUCUCGGAGUAGCGGUAAAAUGCGUAGAUCUCGAGAGGAACACCGAUGGCGAAGGCAGCUUCUUGGCUUACUACUGACACUGAGGCGCGAAAGCGUGGGGAGCAAACAGGAUUAGAUACCCCAGUAGUC
rnacentral:rRNA from 1 species